rnacentral:rRNA from 1 species
AGGGUUUGAUCAUGGCUCAGGACGAACGCUGGCGGCGUGCUUAACACAUGCAAGUCGUACGGGCUUGGGGGGCAACUCUCAAGUCAGUGGCGAACGGGUGCGUAACACGUGAGCAACUUGCCCUAAGGUGGGGGAUAGCCGGCCCAACGGCCGGGUAAUACCGCAUAUGACGCCGGGAUCGCAUGGUCCUGGCGGGAAAGCGGCCGCAAGGUCGCGCCAAAGGUGGGGCUCGCGACGUAUCAGCUAGUUGGCGGGGUAACGGCCCACCAAGGCUACGACGCGUAGCUGGUCUGAGAGGAUGGCCAGCCACAUUGGGACUGAGAUACGGCCCAGACUCCUACGGGAGGCAGCAGUGGGGAAUAUUGCGCAAUGGCCGCAAGGCUGACGCAGCGACGCCGCGUGUGGGAUGACGGCCUUCGGGUUGUAAACCACUGUCGGGGGGGGCGAAUACUCGGCUUCGAACAGGAGACCGAGGGUGACGGUACCCCCAAAGGAAGCACCGGCUAACUCCGUGCCAGCAGCCGCGGUAAUACGGAGGGUGCGAGCGUUGUCCGGAAUCACUGGGCGUAAAGGGCGCGUAGGCGGCCGUGUAAGUCACUUGUGAAAUCCCGGGGCUCAACUCCGGGGCUGCAGGUGAGACUGCGUGGCUAGAGCACGGUAGAGGCGAGUGGAAUUCCCGGUGUAGCGGUGGAAUGCGUAGAUAUCGGGAAGAACACCGGUGGCGAAAGCGGCUCGCUGGGCCGUUGCUGACGCUGACGCGCGAAAGCGUGGGGAGCAAACAGGAUUAGAUACCCUGGUAGUCCACGCCGUAAC